rnacentral:rRNA from 1 species
UACGUAGGGUGCAAGCGUUGUCCGGAAUUAUUGGGCGUAAAGAGCUCGUAGGCGGUCUGUCGCGUCGAAUGUGAAAACCCGGGACUCAACUCCGGGCCUGCAUUCGAUACGGGCAGACUAGAGUUCGGUAGGGGAGACUGGAAUUCCUGGUGUAGCGGUGAAAUGCGCAGAUAUCAGGAGGAACGCCGGUGGCGAAGGCGGGUCUCUGGGCCGAUACUGAUGCUGAGGAGCGAAAGCGUGGGGAGCAAACAGG